CUUGGGAGAAUGAUUCUUAUUUUAAUAAUAAUAUAUAUUAUUAUUAAACUUAAGUAUUCAUGAAAUUUGAAUAUAAUUCUAGGUAAAAAUUUGAUAAUGACAAAGUUUUAUCUAUUUGUCUUGACCAAAUCUUGUGCCAGCAGUCGCGGCAACACAAGGAAGACAAGUGUUAUUCAUCUUAAAUCGGUUUAAGGGGUACCUAGACGGUAAAUUAGGCCAUAGUAGGAACGUUUUUACUAGAGUUAUACAUGCAUGGGGAUUGUGUCAGUAUUACCAGAGUAGAGAUGAAAUUUUUUGAUACUGUUAAGACUGGUAAAGGCGAAAGCAAACCUUUAU
rnacentral:rRNA from 1 species